CUUCGCCUACGGGGCGCAACAGUGGGGAAUAUUGGACAAUGGGGGGAACCCUGAUGCAGCGACGCCGCGUGAGUGAGGAAGUAUUUCGGUAUGUAAAGCUCUAUCAGCAGGGAAGAAAAUGACGGUACCUGACUAAGAAGCCCCGGCUAACUACGUGCCAGCAGCCGCGGUAAUACGUAGGGGGCAAGCGUUAUCCGGAUUUACUGGGUGUAAAGGGUGCGUAGGUGGCAGGGCAAGUCAGAUGUGAAAGCCCGGGGCCCAACCCCGGUACUGCAUUUGAAACUGUCCGGCUGGAGUGCAGGAGG
rnacentral:rRNA from 1 species